GAUGAACGCUGGCGGCGUGCCUAAUACAUGCAAGUCGAGCGAACAGACGAGGAGCUUGCUCCUCUGACGUUAUCGGCGGACGGGUGAGUAACACGUGGAUAACCUACCUAUAAGACUGGGAUAACUUCGGGAAACCGGAGCUAAUACCGGAUAAUAUAUUGAACCGCAUGGUUCAAUAGUGAAAGACGGUUUUGCUGUCACUUAUAGAUGGAUCCGCGCCGCAUUAGCUAGUUGGUAAGGUAACGGCUUACCAAGGCGACGAUGCGUAGCCGACCUGAGAGGGUGAUCGGCCACACUGGAACUGAGACACGGUCCAGACUCCUACGGGAGGCAGCAGUAGGGAAUCUUCCGCAAUGGGCGAAAGCCUGACGGAGCAACGCCGCGUGAGUGAUGAAGGUCUUCGGAUCGUAAAACUCUGUUAUUAGGGAAGAACAAAUGUGUAAGUAACUAUGCACGUCUUGACGGUACCUAAUCAGAAAGCCACGGCUAACUACGUG
rnacentral:rRNA from 1 species